UGCAAGUCGAGCGAUGAACACCUUCGGGUGUGAAUUAGCGGCGAACGGGUGAGGAACACGUGAAGAAUCUGCCUUCAACUCUGGGAUAACUCCGGGAAACCGGGGCUAAUACCGGAUAUGAGCCUCGAUCGCAUGAUUGGGGCUGGAAAGUUUUUCGGUUGAAGAUGACUUCGCGGCCUAUCAGCUUGUUGGUGAGGUAAUGGCUCACCAAGGCGACGACGGGUAGCCGGCCUGAGAGGGCGACCGGCCGCACUGGGACUGAGACACGGCCCAGACUCCUACGGGAGGCAGCAGUGGGGAAUAUUGGGCAAUGGAGGAAACUCUGACCCAGCGACGCCSCGUGAGGGAUGAAGGCCUUCGGGUUGUAAACCUCUUUCAGUAGGGAAGAAGCGAAAGUGACGGUACCUACAGAAGAAGCACCGGCUAACUAUGUGCCAGCAGCCGCGGUAAUACAUAGGGUGCAAGCGUUGUCCGGAAUUAUUGGGCGUAAAGAGCUCGUAGGUGGUUCGAUACGUCGGAUGUGAAAAUCAGGGGCUCAACCCCUGACCUGCAUCCGAUACGGUCGAGCUAGAGUUUGGUAGGGGAGACUGGAAUUCCUGGUGUAGCGGUGGAAUGCGCAGAUAUCAGGAGGAACACCGAUGGCGAAGGCAGGUCUCUGGGCCAAUACUGACACUGAGGAGCGAAAGCGUGGGGAGCGAACAGGAUUAGAUACCCUGGUAGUCCA
rnacentral:rRNA from 1 species